rnacentral:ribozyme from 1 species
AUAUAAAAAAAAAAAAAAGGUAGCGAUCUGUGAUCCUUUUUGUUUCUGAUCCCGAUAUUUUUUUUUAAAC